GGGGCGAGAUGCUAGAGCUGAGGGGAUGCGGUGGUGAUUUUCUUGAAGAAAUCAGAUGAGCAAAAGGAAGAGUGAGCUGCUGGUUCUUGCGAUGAAGAAAUCAAGGGAGGGGGUCGAUAAAGAAAUCAGAAGAGGGAGGGCUGAUAGCCAGCGUGUUCGCCCCGUCGUCCCUGCUGCCCUAUUGCUGGCCGUCUGCGCAACCGGCCGCUUGCCCCGCCGGCCAUAUGCGCCGCUGGUCGCUCGACCCGCGGAUGCCCUCCACAGCGUCAAGGAAGGUGACUCGAUGAGCGGCGCAAAGAAAAGCGCGGUGGUGACUGAGCUCUUCCUCUUGUUACAGGGUUAAGGUGCGCAAAAAUCAUGGAAGAAUGGUGGAUGAUUUUUCUUACUACAGAUCCUGGUCCCUGAGUCGUUGUCUGCUUCGAUUCGAUUCGUUGGUGCGCAAUCGCCAGAUGUAGCAGUGGGUUUGGUUGAGAAAGAGCUUUUCCCCUUUGUUUAUGCACAAGGCGAUCUACUACGAGGAGAAGCGGCUUUCAGUCUUCUAUAGAAUAAUCUGGAUGCAAGUUGCGUUGGCCUUAUAGCGUUAGUUGGAUACGAAUCAAACGGUUGUCAUUUGUUGUAUACAUGACUCAAUGGUGAGCCAAAAAAAAAGAUUGCCCAAAAUUUGUCAUCCAGAACCAGAAUAUAUGAAUCCACAUUACAUUA